UAAUAUUAAACCAUUUUCAAA
rnacentral:piRNA from 1 species